UGCUGUCAAGACAACUGCAUCUGGUUUAUUGUUUUGAUGUUUGGUUUAAGGUGGCAGUAGUUAAAGUUUAUUUAAUAUUAAACAUGAAGUUUAAUAUGUGUGGUAGUUUUAUUAAAGUUGUGUUGAUGCUCAUUAAGUUCGGUUAAGUGUACAUUCAAAUGUGGGGGGACCUUUUAUUUUGUUCCGCGGACCAUGUGUUGCCCGGGGAAACAUUAGCUGGCGCACUUAGAGCCACAUGGGGCAUUCAAGCUAAAGAAGCUGAUCGCUAGAAAUUAAACUUUAUUCCUCUGGAGUCAAUGCGGCUAAUGAGUUCUGACGGCAUUUUUGGGGACUUUGUAAGACGUGUCCACAAUAAAUGGCUGUUGAAACCAA